CCUACGGGAGGCAGCAGUGAGGAAUAUUGGUCAAUGGACGAGAGUCUGAACCAGCCAAGUAGCGUGAAGGAUGACUGCCCUAUGGGUUGUAAACUUCUUUUAUAAAGGAAUAAAACGAGGCACGUGUGCCUUUUUGCAUGUACUUUAUGAAUAAGGAUCGGCUAACUCCGUGCCAGCAGCCGCGGUAAUACGGAGGAUCCGAGCGUUAUCCGGAUUUAUUGGGUUUAAGGGGAGCGUAGAUGGGUUGUUAAGUCAGUUGUGAACGUUUGCGGCUCAACCGUAAAAUUGCAAUUGAUACUGGAAGUCUUGAGUACAGUUGAGGUAAGCGGAAUUCGUGGUGUAGCGGUGAAAUGCUUAGAUAUCACGAAGAACCCCGAUUGCGAAGGCAGCUUACUAAACUGUGACUGACAUUGAUGCUCGAAAGUGUGGGUAUCAAACAGGAUUAGAUACCCGUGUAGUC
rnacentral:rRNA from 1 species